CCCGCUGUUCUGGGAACUCAUCCUCUUCUUCUAGAAGGGUCCUUCCCCCACUCUUUCAAGAGGACCCCGGGACAGUCUCAGCUGAGAACCAAGCUGCGGAAGCCCACUGGAGCUGAUCCCCAUGACCCCACCCCAUCCACUCCGGUGCUGAUGAGAAUCCUUUCUCAGAGUCUUUGCAGAAGGAAGGACCAUUAGCCACGUUUCUGGUGUUAGUAGGUGUUCACCUGGGCCGUCAUACCUGGAGAAGGAGCAGAGUAUUUCUGGAUGACUAGGAGCUGCAGAUUGCUUCGCUGAUGCAAACGGCAUGGAUUCGAGGGGUUCCCCAGGAUCCCACUGGUGAAAGGAAAGAAGGAAGUGGAUGUUUGUACCCCCACUUCAGUCUGGACAGGCUGUGGAGGCAUGUGCUUUGGUCCAUUGCAGAAGGAGAAGAGGGUGCACGUACGAGGGAAGGCUGACCACAUCUCCAGGCCGAGGUGCAACACGUGCUCACCAUGUUGGCAGAGCAAUUUUCAUCAUGUAACAGGGAAGAAGAAUGUCACUGGUGGGAAAGGAAGGACUCCCCUCAGUGGACAGGUCCCAGGCAGCGCAAAGAUUCUAAUGGAAGCCUCCAGAAGCUUAGAAGCAGCUGCAGAGAGUAAGGUUCCCCCACCUGAAGGGUUGGAGAGGGAAUCCCUUGGAGACAGAUGGCCUGGUUAUUACCUUGUACAGCCAUACCCGGAGGACCUUACAACACCUUUUACAAAGAUAAAAAAUUAUAAAGAAAAAAAGGCAAAGUUCUCUAUCCCAGUGCAUCAAAGUAAAAAAUUAAUCACAUCAAAAAAAAAAAAAAUCCUAAACCAUUUGGAAAUUUGAAAUAUAAAAAAAAAACUUCUCCCAAAUAACAAUUUGUGAGUCUUUAUCAAAAUCUACAAUAUGCUGACCUUGUACCCCAAAAAUGUGUUUCUUAGAGACCAUCCCCUAGAAAUAUUCAUUAGUGCGCUAAGAUGUAUGUCCUAGGACAUUCACUGCAGCCUUGUCUGUAACUGUAAAACCCUUGGGGGAAAAUCCCAAUGAUCUUCAUAGGGGUAAACAUAACGAAGUCAUGUGGCCAUUAUAAAGAAUUCGGUGACACACUUCUGACAUGGAAGGAGAGCUGAGUCUAAGCUCCAUGAGUGGGGCAGGGAGAUCUCUGUUCUGUCCACAUAUGGAUCCCAAGAUGCUGGAACAGAAAUGGGCACAUAGCUAUCUCUUAAUAAUAUUGAUUAAGUGAAUGGAUCUCUGAAAUGUAUUUCUAAGUGAAACUAGCAUAUGAGAGCAAUCUGCAUGGCAUGAACCA